rnacentral:misc_RNA from 1 species
UUCAAGGUCAGGCCUCCCCGUACCCAACAUGACCAGUUGUACAUCCUGACCCAUCAUCCAAGGCACUGCCUCAGCAAUCAGAUCAACACCCUUUUGUGGGUCAAGCCUCCCAAUGAAACCGAUCAGUAGGAAAUCAUCACGAACUGGUAAACCAAGUUUGUUCAGCAAUGCAGGUUUACAUUAAGGCUUGCCAGUCUGCAGUGUGCCCAAGGAGCAAUUCACGUAACCAUCUGACUUGAAGUGGACGUCCAACUCAGGGUUCCACUCUUUUGUAUCAUCCCACUCACGAUACCCCGUAAUUUCUAAUCGUUCUCAUUAAUUAUCUGAUGAAUCCGCAACCACCUUCCG